GAGGGUUUAGCUCAGGGGUAGAGUGUGUGCUUAGCAUGCGUGAGGUACUGGGUUCAAUCCCCAGGACCUCCA
rnacentral:tRNA from 1 species